CUCUGAUGUUAGCGGCGGACGGGUGAGUAACACGUGGGUAACCUACCUAUAAGACUGGGAUAACUCCGGGAAACCGGGGCUAAUACCGGAUAAUAUUUUGAACCGCAUGGUUCAAUAGUGAAAGACGGUUUCGGCUGUCACUUAUAGAUGGACCCGCGCCGUAUUAGCUAGUUGGUAAGGUAACGGCUUACCAAGGCGACGAUACGUAGCCGACCUGAGAGGGUGAUCGGCCACACUGGAACUGAGACACGGUCCAGACUCCUACGGGAGGCAGCAGUAGGGAAUCUUCCGCAAUGGGCGAAAGCCUGACGGAGCAACGCCGCGUGAGUGAUGAAGGUCUUCGGAUCGUAAAACUCUGUUGUUAGGGAAGAACAAAUUUGUUAGUAACUGAACAAGUCUUGACGGUACCUAACCAGAAAGCCACGGCUAACUACGUGCCAGCAGCCGCGGUAAUACGUAGGUGGCAAGCGUUAUCCGGAAUUAUUGGGCGUAAAGCGCGCGUAGGCGGUUUCUUAAGUCUGAUGUGAAAGCCCACGGCUCA
rnacentral:rRNA from 2 species